GGGCUGGUAGCUGAGACGGCAUAGCGUCGGUCUGAAAAACCGGAGACGAGGAUUCGAGCGCCUCCCGGCCCG
rnacentral:tRNA from 1 species